rnacentral:sRNA from 1 species
UUUUGCCCCAGAUAAAAGUGAAAAGCUUCUAGUUUUAUACAUCUAUUUUUUCUUGAGGUGGCAGAGCGACCGGAGGAAGCUCCUGCUGGCUCAUUAGAAAAAAAGAUUUAUAAACGAGAACUUGUAACGAAUAGCUGGAAUAGGC